rnacentral:rRNA from 1 species
AUUGAACGCUGGCGGCAGGCCUAACACAUGCAAGUCGAACGAGUGGCGGACGGGUGAGUAAUGUCUGGGAAACUGCCCGAUGGAGGGGGAUAACUACUGGAAACGGUAGCUAAUACCGCAUACGAUCGGGUGUGGCCAGAGUGGAUUAGCUAGUAGGUGGGGUAAAGGAUCACUUGGGCGACGAGCCCUAGCUGGGCUGGGAGGAUGACCAGCAACACUGGAACUGGGACCCGGUCCAGCCUCCUCCGGUAGGCAGCAGUGGGGAAUAUUGCACAAUGGGCGCAAGCCUGAUGCAGCCAUGCCGCGUGUAUGAAUAAGGCCUUCGGGUUGUAAAGUACUUUCAGCGAGGAGGCGUUACUCGCAGAAGAAGCAUCGGCUAACUCCGUGCCAGCAGCCGCGGUAAUUC